GAUGAACGCUAGCGGCAGGCUUAAUACAUGCAAGUUGAGGGGCAGCAUGAUAUACGCGAGUAUAUUGAUGGCGACCGGCGGACGGGUGAGUAAUAGGUAGGAGACCUACCUCAUACAGGGGGAUAGCAUAGAGAAAUCUGUGGUAAUACCCCAUGAGGUUAUAUGAAUAGAGGCAUAUAAUCAAAGCAUAAGCGAUUAUGCGGUAUGAGAGGGGCCUACUGACCAUUAGCUAGUUGGUGAGGUAAGGGCUCACCAAGGCGAAGAUGGUUAGGGGUUUUGAGAGAGAGACCCCCCACAUUGGAACUGAGAGACGGUCCAGACUCCUACGGGAGGCAGCAGUAGGGAAUAUUGGGCAAUGGGCGAAAGCCUGACCCAGCCAUGCCGCGUGAAGGAAGACGGCCUUAUGGGUUGUAAACUUCUUUACUACGCGAAUAGAGGUUAGUACGAGAUACUAAUAGGAAGGUAGUGUAGUAAAAGCACCGGUAACUCCGUG
rnacentral:rRNA from 1 species